rnacentral:lncRNA from 1 species
UAACUAAUAGAUUGAGUCCAAGUAAUAUACAAAUUUCUCCUCAAAGUUAUUUUUAUGUAUUUCCUGCCUUUGACUUAAAAAUCAAUUCAAUUCUAUGCAAAAAAUAAAUAAAAUAUUAAGCCACUAGUAUAUGUCAGAUAAUAUGUAUUCUUUAAAAUCAGUGAUAUAGACACAUUUUUGGAUCAUAGAACUCUGAAAAUUUAUUUAUGGCUACAGAGGCAGUGGGGUUGACAAUGACAUGUGCUUUCUCUUAGCGUUCAUCUGUGAUGCAGAGUAGUUUAUUUGUUGUCAGAUAUCUCAGGUACAGAGAAGAGCCUAGGCUUAGCCUUAGAAUUGCCCACUGAGAUAACAUGGGUACUUAGAAGGGGCCUGAAGGGUAAUGAAUAUCCAACAUAGCAGGUGAGCUGUUUGGAAGCCUCCACUCACUAUUCAGACCUGGGGCAAAUUGAAAUACUAUCUUUCUGUCAAUGAUGGAUCACCUAUGCAGUGGUACUAUAAGAUUAUAAUAUUGUAUUUUUACUGUACAUUUUCUAUGUUUAGAUACACAAAUACUUACCAUUAUGUUACAAUUGCUAUAUAGUACAGAAACAUGCUGUACAGAUCUGUAGCUUAGGAGCAAGAUACUUUACCAUAUAGCCUAGGUAUGUAGUAGGCUACACCAUCUUGGUUUGUGUAAGUACACUUUAUGGUGUUCACACAACAAAAUUGCCUAAAGACAUUUCUCAGAAUGUAUCUCUGUUGCUAAGCAACACAUGACUGUGGUGGGAAUCAGGAUUCAAGUUCCUAGGGAGAGGGCCAGAAGAAGUCUAGUUCUUAAAGGAGUUUGAGGAACACUAGAAGUUUUUGAAACAGAAUCUCAAAAUAAGGUCUGAACCAUGGACUAGAGGAUAUAGAAAAAUUCAGGUAACAAUAGAGGACUCAGUGGAUAGCAUUAGUAUAUUAAGUUACAAGUCAGAAUUACAUGAAAAAAAAAAAAAUUCCUUACUAUGGGAUUGAAAAAGGGCUCAUCUUACUUGAAGUAAGGAAGUUAAGAGGCUGAGAAAAAGUUCGUGUGCUAAAAGGUUUGAUUUGGGAACUGGCGUGGUUUUUAACCUGUUGGUGAGGUUAUUGGUAAACUCCUCUAUAGGGGAGGAUAGAGGCUGGUGGCUGGCAAUUAGUCAGUGUUGGUGCAACUGGUGACUGAGUGUCGGUCAAUUAGUCAGUGUUGGUGCAACUGGUGACUUAGCAACUGGUGACUGAGUGCAUUAUCAAAACUCAUCUUCCCUAGAUCUUUGCAAUCAUACAUACAUACAUAUUUAUGUUCUUUACACGAAAGUUCUCUCCAAGUCCUUGAGCCAAUCCAAGCUCAGACUGGAACUUCCACCCCUCAGCAGGCGGGUUUGACGUUAGUCUUAUCUGGCCUCAAAUAUGGGGCUAAACCCUGGAAAUCUCUCUGCGGGUCACACAGUGUCCUUCCCUUAACCUCAGCCAUGUUGGCUGCUGCUCCUUUUGUCAGCUGGGGUUCUGCCCAAACCAUCUUAAACUUCAACCCAUUUGUUGGGGUACCCAAUAACUCACAUAGUUUUUAAACCCCUGUUUCAUUUGUUGGUGGUGAUUCGUGGUGGAACAUGAUGACAGGAAUGUCAGAAAUAAGAAUAGACCCUAAUUCUUUGAUCUGGACUGAGUUCGAAUCUUGAUUUUAUCAUAUGCUGGCGAUAUGGUCCUAUGGAAAGUUGAGUACCUGUUGCAUCAUAGUGUUAAAAGGAUUAACUAUGAUAACCCAUGUAAAGAACUUUGCAAAAUAUCUAGGACUGAGACAGCACUUAACAAAUGUGAGAUAUUAUCUACAAAUAGUGCUUGAGGUCUUGCUCUCAGAAAACGAAUGUGGUGUCAUGGUGUUAUUGUCCCACAUACAGUCCUGUUUCCUUUCUGCCCUAAAAAUUUUUUAAUCCCUUAAAAAAUUCCUAUAUAGAGUGCACACCAACACGACUGCACUUUAGUAAUUGUUGGUAAGCAUAAAAUGCACAUUCUAUUACAAUACCAAUAUGGUAGAGACUGUUGAUUGCUUAUCUAGAAACCACUGCCUUUAUUACUCCUUUCUAAUAUAAUCAACAUUUUAUCUAGGAAUCUACCCCUCCCAGUUCAUCCGUCCUAUGUGACUCAAGAAAAGUUCACAGCAUUUUCACCUCUACUGUACGUUAUUUUCAGUAGGUCCUAAUUAUUCCCAAUUACGUUAAUCCUCUACUACCUGUCAAUGAGCUGAAAUGGCCUUUCCCUAGUGAUUGUUAUUUGACCAAGGAUGACUGGAUGGUUUAAUUGGUCCUAUCCAUCCGAAGGGAAGAUUUUAUUUUCAUGGCUAUGGGAGUGUUUCUGUGUCUCUCUCUUCUCAUGCAUACAAUCCCAAUUGCUUCUGGCAGCCAUUUUAUACUGAUAAGGGAAGCCAGGCUAGGAAAGAGUUUAAAGUUGAAAAAUCAUUGUGACAAAAAUUGGGAAGUUUAGGUAAGGACAUUCUCCCAUUAUAGAUAAUUAAUUCCUCUCCUGAUUAAGCCAGGUUAAAUCAGUAUUUUUGUUCAUUGUAUACAAAAGCACGUCAUUUAAGAAAACCAUUCUCUGCAUUUCUUUCUAAUCAUAUGAUUAGAUCGGAUCAUUCUGUUCACGGUCAUUAUUUUGCUCUUGAUCUAAGUACCUCCUCGGUUGAUGUCAUAUCUUCCCCCCACUCUAAUGACCCUCUUUGUGUUGACAUAUCCAUGUCAGACGUCACUACUGAGCACCAAAUUCUUAUUUCCAAAUGCCAUGUCCUCCUGAAUCAACAGCUUCUCAAAAUUAGCAGUCCAAUAUUGAAAUUCUCAUCUAUGUUAGUAUUAUCUCUUUGUCCACCUAUAUUCUCAUUUCUUGUCAUUCACCCAGCUUCAAACUUGAAAGUUUAAUUCUCCACUUUCAUUUCCAGCGUUAUCCAAUCAGUGAUGCAUAAUUGUCUUUUAUACUUCCAAAAAUAUUUCUGAAUUUAUUUCCUCUCUGCCUUGUAUUAUGUAACUGUAUAUGCCAAGAUCUUUGUCAUCAAUCACAUGGAGUGUUGCAAUCACCUGUUGUUUGAACACACAGCCGUGAUUUUUUCCCCUUCUGUCUAUCCUUCAGACACAAUUGCCAUAGUAAUCUUUCUAAAUCAAAACGUUAUUCACUCUUUUUGCCUACAGGAUAAUCAUAUUGCUCAGUAUGUCUUCCACAGCUGUUCAUAACCAGAACCCAUUCCACCUCUCUAAGCUGAUUUUCUUCUACUACUCUUCUUUCACACGUUUCUAGAUUCUGACCACUUUGAAUGUCUCACUGUUGUCACAAGCAUGCCAUGUUUCCUCUUGACUCCAUGCAGUUAGGUAUGUUUCUUCCUCAGUUUUAGUUGUUCUGGAAAACAGCUCCAUUCUUUAGCCUAGAAAAUAAUUACUUAUUUUCAACACCUAGCUCAGUAGCUUCUCUGAAAACCUCUCCUCAGCAACAAUUUC